rnacentral:rRNA from 1 species
CCUACGGGCGACAGCAGUAGGGAAUCUUCCACAAUGGGCGCAAGCCUGAUGGAGCAACACCGCGUGAGUGAAGCAGGGUUUCGGCUCGUAAAGCUCUGUUGUUGUAGAAGAACGUUCGUGAGAGUAACUGUUCACGCCGUUACUGUAUCCAACCGGACAGUCACGGCUAACUACGUCCCAGCAGCCGCGUUGAUACGUAGGUGGCAAGCAUUAUCCGGAUUUAUUGGGCGUAAAGGGAGCGCAGUCGGUUGCUUAGGUCUGAUGUGAAAGCCUUCGGCUUAACCGAAGAAGUGCAUCGGAAACCGGGCGACUUGAGUGCAGAAGAGGAAAGUGGAACUCCAUGUGUAGCGGUGGAAUGCGUAGAUAUAUGGAAGAACACCAGUGGCGAAGGCGGCUGUCUGGUCUGCAACUGACGCUGAGGCUCGAAAGCAUGGGUAGCGAACAGGAUUAGAUACCCCAGUAGUC